UCUUCUCUUCCCUCCACUGCCAAGGUUUUCUCCAUCCAUUUCCACCACUUUCUUUACCGUUUCUGCACCAACUUUCAGAGAAAUUUCAAAGGGAAGAAGGCCAAGAAAGAAAGAAGAAGAAGUUCAAGAAGUUUUGUUGAAGACAGACAAGGGAAUUGCAAGCAAAGCUUCAUCCUUGGAUGAAAUUGAAUCACACAACACACCUCUAAUGUUUUGUUGAUUCUAAGCUACACAAAAAGAAUUAAGAGGUAGAGAUCGAGUUUCCGGUGCCUGAUAGACUACUUUAGUCUGCUGAAGUUUCGAUAUCAAUUGCCAGGUCUAAAGGUUGCAUUUUAACAAUCUCUUCUUCAAGUAUGGAUUUAACUUGGAAUUGUGUUAUCAAAUUCCCAACUGUCCAUGUGCUUAAAAUUAUCUCAUAGCCUUUCAAUUCUUUCAGAAGCAUGGCUUAUUGUUAAACACGUUAUCACAUCUCUAAUUCCCCUGGAAGUGGAUGCUUUGCAAUGAUGAACUUUAAUUUUCACGACUGCUUGCGAUGGCGAUGGGCUUUGAAAGAUUACACAAGUUGCAGCGCAGAUGGCAAGUUUAUACCAAGUAUCAUUCGGAGCUAUGUUGAAAUGCAAUUUAGGGCACAUGUGGCUUCUUUUAAUUUUUAAAC